rnacentral:sRNA from 1 species
AGCGGCUCGUGCUUUAGCUCUGGCUCCUCUUGCAUUUUUGCUAGUUACCUACAUUCACAGGGGUCAUACGAGGAAAUGAAAAAAAGUGUACAACAUUGUGACGUACAUACCCAGGCGUACGUAUCGGAGGCGUACAGCUAUAUAUAUAUAUUGAUAUGCGGCCCAAACACUGCUCAGAGCGGGCCAGCUAGCUCUUCAACAUGCUCCUUCACGUCGCACCGUUCCAAAAUAACGUUUGCUCAUAACUAUGCCAGUAUAUGGAUCUUGACUACGAUAUUGACGACCCAGCCAGUGCACAGUUUGACACUAGACCCAAAGGCAUCUGGACAGCUAAGUAUAAAGAGUAUAUCAAUUUAAUCUGAUAGUAACUAAUGUUACCUUCCAGGUGCAAGAAUAGCAACGGGCCGUAAACGAGCUGUGCUUCAACUAGGCACAAAUAUAAAACACAAAUUACUCAAGAGUUUCACCUGAUCAGAGAUUCGUACAGCUCUAGAGCUGUUCUUUAGCCAGCGUAGCCUUAGGAAACAAUCUUAAAAGCUGCAAGACUUCUCUGCAAUUGAUUCGGUUUUUGGUUUACUUUUGCCUCGUUAAACAAAAUUUAAGCUUUAUUUGUCCCGACUUAGGUAUUAAGCUGUAAUUUCCACUGUAGAUUUCAGGCAAUUCCACCCGCUUGUGUGGAAAAAUCGCGAAAAUCGUACGUGUGAAACUUUGUUUGCUUACCUUCCGA